GGCUAUGGCUCUGUGCUACAGCAUCGGCUUAGCAUGCAGUACGUCCCAGGUUCGAACCCUGGCAUCUCCA
rnacentral:tRNA from 1 species